UACGUAGGGCGCGAGCGUUGUCCGGAAUUAUUGGGCGUAAAGAGCUCGUAGGCGGCUUGUCACGUCGGGUGUGAAAGACCGGGGCUCAACCCCGUGUCAGCCCGGGAUACUGGGGAGCUAGGGACAUGUAGGGGCGAGCGGAAUUCCGGGUGUAGCGGUGGAAUGCGUAGAGAUCCGGAAGAACACCGGGGGCGAAGGCGGCUCGCUGGGCAUGGUCCGACGCUGAGGCGCGAAAGCGUGGGGAGCGAACAGG
rnacentral:rRNA from 1 species